ACGGGUGAGUAACACGUGACUAACCUACCCUUGAGUGGGGGAUAACCUCGGGAAACCGGGGCUAAUACCGCAUAACAUCGCAAGAUCAAAGGAGCAAUCCGCUGAAGGAGGGGGUCGCGGCUGAUUAGUUAGUUGGUGAGGUAACGACUCACCAAGACGAAGAUCAGUAGCCGGCCUGAGAGGGCGCACGGCCACACUGGAACUGAAACACGGUCCAGACUCCUACGGGAGGCAGCAGUGGGGAAUUUUGCGCAAUGGGGGAAACCCUGACGCAGCAACGCCGCGUGGAGGAUGAAGUCCCUUGGGAUGUAAACUCCUUUCGAUCGGGACGAUUAUGACGGUACCGGAAGAAGAAGCACCGGCUAACUCUGUGCCAGCAGCCGCGG
rnacentral:rRNA from 1 species